UGAAAGAAAGAUAGCAAGAACCCACUUGAUUUUCCCAAAUGCAUCGUUGCGGGGAAGAAAAAAGAUCAUGAAUGAGAAAGACAUGAAUCGGCAGUGUAAAAGCUUUUAAUGCAAUGUUUUGGAACAUCCAGAAGAUACCAGUGGAAAGUCAACCUUGGCAUGGAAGUGGUCUGCUCUGCUAGAAGCCAUCUCCUCCACCUCAGACAAUGAGAGUUUUGAAGCCUUAGAAGAAGCAUCACUCUGGUUCGUGAUCUUCACGGCUACCAGGAUUUUAUAGGCCGCGGAUCAAAACUGGCAUGGGACAACUAGGGCCAAUGCUCGGGCUGUAAAAUUUCGCACCAUGUUUCAGAUCAAUCACCUUUCAUCAGAAUUGAGUUAUCAUCCUACCAAAUGUAGAAAAUAUUGACACCAGCUUGUCAGCUAAUGUGUUGCAUGCAGGUGUAUUUUAAUUUAUAAAGUCUUUGAAUUCAUGAUGGAAACUAAAAUAAUUCCUGAGUAUGGUAAAAUUAUUUCUCUAGCAAUAUGCUGUGAAUGAAGAAUAGCAAAUGAUGUGCAGAAAAUCAGAGAGAUCACCUCCUGGUGUGAUUUGUAGGGAAGUUAUUCAAUUAUCUCCAUUUUGUUGUGACACUGUAUUGAUGUUAUUAUUGACAUCAAAUAAAGUAUAAUUGACAUUGUA